GACGAACGCUGGCGGCGUGCUUAACACAUGCAAGUCGAACGGAAAGGCCCUGCUUUUGUGGGGUGCUCGAGUGGCGAACGGGUGAGUAACACGUGAGUAACCUGCCCUUGACUUUGGGAUAACUUCAGGAAACUGGGGCUAAUACCGGAUAGGAGCUCCUGCUGCAUGGUGGGGGUUGGAAAGUUUCGGCGGUUGGGGAUGGACUCGCGGCUUAUCAGCUUGUUGGUGGGGUAGUGGCUUACCAAGGCUUUGACGGGUAGCCGGCCUGAGAGGGUGACCGGACAAAUUGGGACUGAGAGACGGCCCAGACUCCUACGGGAGGCAGCAGUGGGGAAUAUUGCACAAUGGGCGGAAGCCUGAUGAAGCAACGCCGCGUGCGGGAUGACGGCCUUCGGGUUGUAAACCGCUUUCGCCUGUGACGAAGCGUGAGUGACGGUAAUGGGUAAAGAAGCACCGGCUAACUACGUG
rnacentral:rRNA from 1 species